UUCGGUUUCAGCAGCCUCGAGACCCGGAAAAGGUAGUCCGAAGGACUCAGAGCGCUGGGAAUGCUGGGAAUCGUGGUUCCUACCGCCAACGGAUUGCAGUUUCUCACCAGUUCCCAAGGCCACGCAUGAGGCAAUAACAAAUCCUGGCGAGGAUGUGGAGGAAAGGGAACCCUUGUACACUGUUGGCAUGAUUGUAAAUUAGUACAACCACUAUGGAGAAGAGUUUGGAAGUUCUUCAACAAACUGAAGGAUAUGAGACUUUACAGCCUGGUAAAAAUGAGCUAUUGUGACCUACACAUCUAGAAAUAAGCCAUCCUAACCAUGAGAGAUCACAUGAAACAAGACCAGAGACUCAUUUCCUUGUAAAAUGCUUUCUCCAAAGAUUUUUAAAAAGAAAACGGGGGAAAUGUGAAAGGAAAAUAUCUUGGGCCCCCUCAAGCUGGGAACCACUGAGGGCAAAUCUGUCUCCCAUUCUAUUCGAAGUCAUCUCUGUGGUCACAGAGAUAGAUGCAUAUUUUGAUUGCCUCCUUUGAAAAUACUUAUCAGAAACUCAAAAAAAUGCAACCAUCUAUCUCUCACCUACCUGUGACCUGGAAGCCCCCAGUAGGGGGGCCUUGCUUUGAGUUGUCUCCACCUUUCUGGAUGCAACUGAUGUGCAUAUAUUGAUUGAUGUCUCAUGUCUCCCUAAAAUGUAUAAAACCAAGCUGCGCCCCAAGCACAUGUCUUCAGGACCUCCUGAGGCUGUUUCAUGGCUGCAUCCUCAACCAUGGCAAGAUAAACUUUCUAAAUUAACUGAGACCUGUCUCAAAUUUUGGGGGUUCAGAAUCCAUAAGUCUCUUUUUAUUUCUUGAUUAUUGAAGUCACAUUUACUAAAAGGCAUUAUAGCUUUUAUUUUUUCUUCAAAAAUAUUUGAUCCUAGUGUUUAUCCUUCUUUAAGUCAAUUAAUUAGAGCUCUUUUUAAAAAUAGACAUCACACACUACACCUAUAUAACCACACAGAUAAGCAGAAGCAGAUCCAGUAGUUAUCAGAUUUUCAGUUCUGCAAUCUCCUAGUUGAACUGUUCACCUCUGAGUGGUCCCUUUAAGAGCAUGGCUAGGAAAGCAUGCAGUUUCUAGGGCCUAAAAAACAGGUAUAGCUGGAAGACAAAAUCAGAUUUUGAGAAGGAUUCAUCUGCCUCCAAUUCCUAGGGCUCCAUGAGGAAAACAGGAGUCUCUCCCAAAAUGGAAUCUGUGGCACCUUUUCUGUUUUUCCCAAGAAGCCCCAGGCCAUCAGAAAUUAUUUUAGGGCCUCUCAUGCAUGCCGUAAGGGUGGCAAGACAAAAUGGAGAAAAAGAAUUCACCUGACUGAGAAAAAAACUUUUUCCGCUAAAACAAGAUCCAAGAAGAGAAAAACAUAAAGGCCUUUUAAAUAUACCUAUAACUUGGAUAUCCACUUUUAGUUAAGAUGAACACUCUUUAAGAAAGUCCUUUUAAAUCCCUUAUUAUGCAACUUUGGCCAUGCCAAGGAGUCAAUAUUUCUAGCUUUUGAACUUUAUGAAACGUAACUUCCCAGGUGCUCACAGAAAGGAAAAUUCAAGGUGGUUCGUGGAAGGGAAGAGAAUCAACAAAUGGUAAAGGUCACACAGGUAUCAAACCAGAAAGGACUCAUUCCCUAAGCCAGGAUUGAACCUGGGCCACCAUUGUAAAUGGCAGAGGCAAAAACAAAGCACUGCCACAUGGUUACAGGUCAUGCUUCUAAGUACGUAAAAUAUGAUGGAGGCCUUCAGCAAACUUUGCCACUGACCAGUUUUCCAGGCUGGCUCGAGCAGAAGGCCUAUGGAGUCCUAGGCCUAUAUCCCAUCCUAAGGUACCUCUGUUUCUUAGAGAACCAUAUAGAGAGGCAUGCAAAGCACACCAGAUUGGCUACAGCUUAAGACCAACCUCCCGAAUCCUUUCUCAUAAUUAAAACUUUACGGAGAAUAUAAACAGUGAUCCUUAUCAUUCCCUUUACCAGUUUGCACAGGGGGGCGGGGGGGCAAAAGCUCAACUGGUUAAAAAAAAAAACCCUCUUACCCUUUUGCCAGCAUGUCAGGCUUCUGUGUUCCCUCCCCACUGAGCUCAAUCCCAAGACAACUAGUUUAAGGCUUGGGAAGUUAACUUUUCCCAGUUUGGAGGCUACAUUUGAGGGGAGUGUCCUGCAGCAUGGGGACAUAAGCAUCCAUCUGCGAACAGAGGAGGAAAAAGGAAAAAUAUGGCAUUUUUUAAAAGGAGCCCCAGGACUCAGGAUGCAUUCAGAGAGGUACAGACUGAAGAUGAAUGGCUACUCAUCUAGAAAGAGGGGAGCAAGGUGUCCCUGGUGUUCCCUUCCUAUACCCUAGCAAAUACCCAGGGUAUAUGAGGUAGAGAAAGCAAAGCAUGUCUCUUUCUUUCUUCCAUCCUUAUAUUUCUGAGUUCCAGCAACCACAACAGGUUACCACCCAUGGGUAUCAAAGCAGCUUUCACCCAUGUUAACAGAGGGGUCUAGGGGGUGGAAUUAUCUUCUCUUACCCACAUAUGCCCUAUCUCCCCUGCUGUCAGUAGCCUUUGAGUUCCUGAACUUGGAAUUUAGUUUGGGUAAAAAAUGUUUCUGGGGGGUUGAAUUGCAUGGACUCCUUAUAAGCUGAAUGCUAAGGUGAAGCUGUGAAUUUGAGUCCUUCUCCAACAAGGGAUAGAAAAGAGUGUCUUUGAAUUGGGGUCCCAAUCUAGUAAAACAUCUUCUGAAAGGGGGGAAAAAAAAAGCCUUUCACAUAAAAGUUAACUUCUGACCUGGUAGAGAAAGGAAAAAAUAACCUAAAUGCUGGGCUGUGUUAAUUGCUGAAAAAUGGAGAAAAGAAAAAGAUGCCUGGGGAAGAAACCUCUUAUUCUUAUGCAAAUGAGUUUCUUCUACUGGGAGAGAAACUUUUAAUUGCUGUUUCUUCCCUGGGGCUUGGACUGAGCUGGACCCCUUGGCCAGGGGAGGGGAAGACUCCAUGUGUAUGUGACAGGAACGUUGGCCAGCUGUUGGUGCAGGGUGUGGGACCCUGAGGCUGCCUUGGGGCCCGGGCAGUUUCCUCUACCCUCAGAAGAAGUGUGAGGACAAAAAGGCUCAGAAAUGAAAGGGAAAGAGAUUUUUGGGUCCGCACUUUACUCGCCCCUCCUCAUGUCCCUCUACGGGCUACCAAAUGAUGCAGGAUUUUUUGCUCCUUAGUUCAGCUGAAAUCCAGGUUUCUGUCUCACAACCAGGAAAAAUUAGGCACUUGGACAAAUUGAAGGAUGAGGAGGGUAGAUCUCUUAGGCAAAAGCAAAGCUCAGCAAAGAAAGAACGGGUCCCGCCAACAUGCUACCACCUCACAGAUUGAAGACCAGGCCACUUCACACAAGCUGAAGAGGCUGGGCCCCUCCCCCAGCAUAAGAUGUAAAUUCCUGAUGGCUCCACCCCAUUCUUCCAGUGAAUAUACGGGCCCCCAGUUCAUUGUGAGCCUGCUCAGGCAAGACCAUGGGCAGUUUCCCUUAUCUGCCUCCUGCAUCUAUCAGCUCUAUCUUUCCUAAUAGACGGAUCCAAGUCUCAUCAUUGUCAUCUUCUCAGAAUUCUCCUUUUUCUCCUUCCUUACACAAAAUGUACUGUGCCACAUAUACUUCUCUUAAUCUUGUUUUUUAAACUUACUGACCCUGGAAAUCAUUGAAUAUUAAUGUAAAGAGAUAAUCCUUUUUCAUUUAUGACUGCAUAUUAUUCAUGAUGUAGAAGCACUGCUGUUUACUUAAUAGCUUUCUAAUGAUGGAAUUAGAAUUGUACACAAAGCUUUGGUAGUACACAUUAUCCCACAAUAAACAAUUUUGUACAGAUAUGAUUUGAUCUCUUUGGAAUGUAACCGUUUAUAUUAACACCUCCUAAAAAAUGACAUACUUAGGUAUAAAUCUAACAAACAUUUAG